GGAAACCGGAUGUGGCUCAGGGUAGGAAGUUGUUGUGGAGUUUGAAUCACUUUGAGCGGCCAAAUCAGUGCCUAUUUUAAGUCCAUUAGUGCAGAAGGCACCAUGAGUCUGCACGAUGACACUCCAGAGCGACUGGACGCAGACUUCGACCGUUACCUGUCAGACAUGAAGCCAUAUGUCCUGAAGCACCCCAACAGAACAGAGCGCCAACGGUGCGCCAUGUGGAUCAGGAAGCUUUGUGACCCGACCAUGUGUGGCUCAGGACCAGUUGGGCUGAAGAAUCGCAACAUGUACGCUCGCCUGCUUCUGCACAUGCUCAGAAGAGGAGUCCUGGAUGCCCCUUUCACUGUCAAGCCGGAUCAGGGCUGCCUGAAGACUCUACCAACUUACAUGGCGAUCUACUUCGACGAGCCCCUGGGCGCCAGCGGGCCAGCGGUACAGGAAGUGGCACCGCUUCCUGAUUGGGUGGCAGGAGAGCUCGGCCACCAUGGAUCCGACAGGACCAGGAGGUCUUCCUCCCCCACCUCUGCCACUCACUCCAGAAGGCGGCCGUAUGACGAGAAGACCCCAUGCCGGAAAAUGGCGUCCAGUCCUCUCGACCAGUCCCCUAGAAGAGAACACACCGGCAUGGUGGACGGUGUGUCGAAGCCGUACGCAUCCCCAGAUGACAGUGACCUUGAGGCCCGGCUCAACAGUUGGAACCUAGGGAUCGAAAACCCCAGGUAUUUGCGUGAGAGGCCCAUCGCCCCGUCGUCGAUUGCUCCAUCACUCCAGAUGUUCAACUCGACCAUUGGUAGGAACAGCACAUAUCUUGAUGAAACAGCCCCGCUGCACAAACAGGACAAAGAGGUGGAGAUGAAAAUCAAAGUGUUGGAGGCCAAACAUCAGGAGGAGCAGCUCAGGAUGCAGCAGAGACAUGAUUCAGACGUCCAAAAAAUUCUGGACAGAAAGAAUGGUGAGAUUGAGGAGUUAAAGACGUCAUACCGGGCCAAGCAGAAGGGCUCAGAGGAGAUGAUCCACAAGCUGGAGAAGAAAGUUGAAAGCGGGCUGCGGGAGUCCCAGGUCAUCCGCGAGAGCAAAGAGAAGCAGAUUGCGGAGCUGAAGAAGAUGUCGGAUCAGAGCUCCAGCUCCCUGCACAACGAGUGGGAGAAGAAGCUCCACGCGGCGGCUGCGGACUUGGAGCAGGAGAAGUUUGUGCUCCAGAAGAAACACACGCAGAGCAUCCAGGAGCUACUGGACGACACCACCCAGAGGCUGACCAAGAUGGAGGCCCAGUACAGAGCUCAGGCACAGUCCACGGAGAGGACAGUGCGUGAGCUGGAAGUGACGGUGAAGCAGCAGUCGGCGGAGGUGGAGAAGGGCAAGGCUCUGCGUCAGAAGGUGACCCAGGAGAAGGGCCAGCUGGAGAUCCAGGUGGCCACCCUGGGCGCUGAGCUCCAGGAGGCUAGCCGACGAAGCAUGGCGCAGCUGAAGGAGAAGGAGGAGCAGAGUGAGCAGUACGAGCAGGCCUCCGAGAGGCUCCGGGCCACGCACCAGGCCGACAUGAGCCACUAUCAACAGGAACACGCCCUCUCUGCUGCCAAGGCCUCGGAGGUGAUGGAGGAAAUGGAGCGGGUAGCCUCCCAGCUCAGGCAACAGCUACAGGAGGCUGAGCACAGGAGACAGAAACAGCUCCGGGACCAAGAGAUCAAGUUUCAGCAGGAGAAGGAUGACCUGCAGAUCCACUGCGAGGGGAAGGUUCUGACUACUCUGAGCAAGGCGGAGAAGGAGAGAACAGAGGCAAAGAAGAUGACGGCCAAACUUGAAGAGUCUCUAAGGGAGGCGGAGGGCCAGCUGGAAAGAGCCAGAGAGGACCACAGGCAGCAGGUCCGGCAGGCUGAGGCCUCUCUGGAGCAGUUCAGGCAGCAGGUUGAGCUUAGUUCGGAGAAGACCUAUGCCGACAUGAAACUACAGAUGGAGAAGGUGGAGGAGGAUUUGCUUCACUCCAAGGCCCUCCGAGAAAACCAGACAAAGGAGUUCUCCCAGAAACUAGACGCACUCCGGGAAAGAUACGAGGAGCAGAUGGCGGAGCAGCGCGUGCAGCGGGAGCAGGAGAGGACGCGACUCCAGCAGCAGCACAGCGCCGAGCGGGACAGCCAGGCCCGGGAGCGCCAGCGGGAGGUGGGCAGCCUGGAGAGACAGGCCCGGGCCGCCCUGCAGCAGCACCAGCUGCACACCCAGGAGUGGAGGGAGCGCGAUGCCCAGACCAUCUCAGAGCUGGAGGAGCAGGUGGGCUGUCUGCGGCAGGAGGUGGCGGCGGCCCAUGGCCAGAGGAAGCAGCAGCUGGCGGAGGUGGCGACGCUCCGCGAGGAGGAGCGCCGCCGCGAUGCCCAGGACCACGAGGCCUCGCUGGCCGGCCUCCAGGCCGAGGACCAGCGUCUCCGCGGUAUCGCCCAGAAAGCCCACCGCCAGGAGGUGGAAGCCGUCAGGGAGAAGGCCAGCAGCAGGCUGAGGCAGAUGGAGAAGGACCACGCUCAGAAGCUUGCCAAGUCUAUCCAGCUGAUAGCCCAGCUGCAGACGUCAGUGUGUGACUGUAAGGAGGAGGCUGUGCGUGUGCAGCAGAGCCUGGAGAGACAGCUGGAAGAGGGCCAGGCUCGCUGGGACCAGGAGAGACGGACCCUAAGCCACCACGCUGACAAGGCCCACAAGGCUUUGCAGGAAAAAGCGGAGGGUCUACAGCGGCAGUUGCACUCCUCUGAGAAGAAGCUGCUCAACAAAGAGUUGGAGAUGCAGGAACAGGUGACGGCAGUGCGGCAGGACUGCGAGGUGAGGAUCAAAGGCCUACUGCCGGCAGAGCUCCAACGGGAGCUGGAGGACACCAUCACCUCCCUGAAGGCCCAGAUCACACAGUCCUUUUCCCUUCCACAACAGCAAGAACACACACACACACACAUCCAUACACAGUACCACACACACACACACACACAAACGUCCACCCACAGCCACACACACAGAGCUUCUCAGAGGAACCCUGGUCCUUGUUAGUUUCACUGGGGCCCGAGUUGCAGUGGAGGCCUUUCUUUCGGUUCCUCCGUGUUUACAAAGUAAACAAAAGGCGCCUUUUCUGAAGCAGAGGGAGAGACAGAGACAGACGGAGAGAGAGAGAGAGAGAGAGAGAGAGAGAGAGAGAGAGAGAGAGAGAGAGAGAGAGAGAGAGAGAGAGAGAGAGAGGGGAGCUGACGGCACCACGAGUUCCUCUGCUAGAACCCACCUCGUGCUCCGAGGCGCUCCAUCCGUAUCCCCUUUCAGCGCAGCGCAGCAGCUCUGCGAUCGGAUAUGUUUAUCGGAUGGAGCUCGCGAGCGGCACCGCCUUCACAUGCGGCGCAUUAUUUAUUUUGUGUGGAGAAAAGACAAGGCGGUGGCGGCAACGGAGGUGGGGGUAGAAAAAACAGGGGGGGGGGGGCGGAAUUCAGUCCAGCCACAUUUUGCCACAGGGAUUUGCAUAUUCCACAUGGCGGCGAAACGCAAAACGAAGCGCUAUAACUUUUCUAAGGUCUCUCCCCCUCCCCUUCGCCGACAUGAAGGAAUGCUCUCUGGGCUCGGGUACGGUUAGUUCCAGGACAAUGUGGAUUCCUUGGCGAGCUGCUGGAGGUUUGCCUGCCCGCCUGGGAGACCCCAUGUUGGCCGAGUUUGGGGUUUAUUUUCAGAAGGCCCUGGUGACACUUGAUAAAUAAACUCCCAGCUUGUAGCGGAGCGAGGGUGGGUUAACACGUGGUGGCCUCCGCCCCCACCCCCCUCCACCAAUACCUCCAGCCCCCGACCCCCUACCUCCACCACCACCAACACAAGCUCCCUCACCUCCACCACCAGCACCUCCUCCACAAACUCCAUCCCAACCACCACCUGCUGACCCCCCAAACCCCUCUUCCACAUCGGUGUACUGCCUCCACCCCUCCACCCUCCCACAGCUCCACCCACGCACGUCGGUCAGAAUGCAUCAAGCACGUGCUUUUCUGUGUUGCAGGUCAACUUCCUCCAGAAGAGAGCCUCGCUACUGCAGGAGGAUCUGGAUGCACAUCGCAAGGGUAACGGGAAAUAUACCAGCAACCAACCCAUUGAAAUAUGAAGGAAGAAGGCGACCUAUCAGAUGUGAGCAUCAUUGACUGUUUCCGGGGCGGCAUUUCACCCAAUCGUCAUGCCAUUGGAAUAUUCAUCUUUUUUUAUGCACUCAUGUCAUGUUUUUUUAUUUCACACUGUAUUUAUUAACUGAUGAACUUUGAAUGAAGUAUGAUUGUUCUAUUUAAAAAGUUGUUAUUCAUUCUUAAUAAAACAUUUUUGUGUUUUUCUUUUAUAA